GCGAGGUGCAUGCGAUCAUGGGGAAGAACGGGUCAGGGAAGAGCACUCUCUCAAAGGUUCUUGUUGGCCAUCCUGAUUAUGAAGUAACUGGAGGUAGCAUUGUCUUUAAAGGUGAGAACCUGCUCGACAUGGAGCCAGAGGAAAGAUCUCAUGCUGGCCUGUUCAUGAGUUUCCAAACUCCGGUUGAGAUACCAGGUGUAAGCAACAUAGAUUUUCUGCUCAUGGCCUAUAAUGCUCGAAGGAAAAAGCGGGGUCUACCAGAGCUAUCACCGAUUGAGUUCUUUGGUUUCUUGUCUCCCAAACUUGCUGCUGUAAAUAUGAACCCGAGGUUCCUGGACAGGAAUGUAAAUGAAGGAUUCAGUGGUGGUGAAAAGAAGCGGAAUGAGAUUUUGCAGCUAGCGGUUCUGGAGGCUGAUUUGGCUAUUUUAGAUGAAAUUGAUUCAGGGUUAGAUGUUGAUGCGCUUCAAGAUGUAGCAAAAGCUGUCAAUGGGCUUCUGGCACCCAAUAGAUCGAUUUUGAUGAUCACUCAUUAUCAACGCCUUCUAGAUUAUAUCAAGCCUUCUUAUAUUCAUAUAAUGGAUGACGGGCGGAUUGUAAAGACAGGCGAUAGUUCGCUUGCAAAACAGCUUGAGAAGGAAGGCUACAGGGC
rnacentral:misc_RNA from 1 species